GUAGGUAUAGUUUACCAAAAACACCAGAUUGUGGAUCUGGAAAUAGGGCCCCACAAACCCUUACCGACC
rnacentral:tRNA from 1 species